AUCCCGUACAAUCACCGAAGUUAAGCAACGUCAAGCCUGGUCAGUACCUAGAUGGGUGACCGCUUGGGAAUACCAGGU